CCUACGGGUGGCAGCAGUGAGGAAUAUUGGUCAAUGGGCGCGAGCCUGAACCAGCCAAGUAGCGUGAAGGAUGAAUGCCCUACGGGUUGUAAACUUCUUUUAUAAAGGAAUCAAGUGAGGCACGUGUGCCUUUUUGUCUGUACUUUAUGAAACAGCAUCGGCUAAUUCCGUGCCAGCAGCCGCGGUAAUACGGAGGAUGCGAGCGUUAUCAGGAUUUAUUGGGUUAUAGGGGUGCGUAGGCGGACUAUCAAGUCAUCGGUAAAAAUUCGGGGCUCAACCCCGGCGUGCCGUUGAAACUGAUGUUCUUGAGUGGGCGAGAAGUAUGCGGAAUGCGUGGUGUAGCGGUGAAAUGCAUAGAUAUCACGCAGAACUCCGAUUGCGAAGGCAGCAUACCGGCGCCCAACUGACGCUGAAGCACGAAAGCGUGGGUAUCGAACAGGAUUAGAUACCCUAGUAGUC
rnacentral:rRNA from 1 species